rnacentral:misc_RNA from 1 species
GAAAUGCGAUAAGUAGUGUGAAUUGCAGAAUUCAGUGAAUCAUCGAAUCUUUGAACGCACAUUGCGCCCUUUGGUAUUCCUUAGGGCAUGCCUGUUCGAGCGUCAUCUAAACCUUCAAGCCCUGCUUGGUGUUGGGUACCUGUCCCGCCUCCGCGCGUGGACUCACCUCAAAUCCAUUGGCGGCCCCCGCGUCGGCCACGAGCGCAGCAGAAACGCGAACUCGUGAGCCCGUCCGGGCGGCUCCCAGAAGCUACACCCACCCAGUUUGACCUCGGAUCAGGUAGGGAUACCCGCUGAACUUAAGC